AGACACUGCUGGCUCCUGGACAGCUGAGAGAUCCUAGACUCCUGACAAGAGUUAGCAGGAGGUAAGAGUUCUUACCACAUCAGUCUGCCAGAUCCUUGCCUGAAGGGUCCAAGAGAAGUGAAAGUGGUGGGCUCGGGGGACCUCUCCUGGAAGGCGAGAUGGAGAGGUUCCAUUCUGAAAUAGAAAGUUCCAUAGCCAAACACAAGAUUUUUCUCUUUCAUAAUAAAGCCCAGUUCCCAUUAUUACAUUGACCCGCUCGACAAAGAUGUGGUUGUCCUAACAUAUGGAUUAUUUGGGGCAUCUCAGGAUGUGAAGAAUCUGUCUAUUUUGUCAGUGUUUGGAUGCUGUUGAGGAACAUGUUACAGUAUAUGCAGACUGAAGAUAACGUACUAAUAGCAGAAGAGGUUAGAGGCCUCUACUGACCGUUGGCACUCAUCCGUGGCCGAUCCUGGUGAUCACAACGGCGUCUCCUUUUCUCAGUUCUCCUUCUGUUCCAGAGGAACCAUGUGGAAAAACAUAGUUCUGAAACUAUAGAAGUCACAAUACUAUUCAUUGAAUAAAUUGUUUAGAGUUGCUGUCAGGCAUGGACACCUGGCAAAGAUUCAUUUGGAACUCUUGAGUGUUAGAAGUGUCGUCAUUCUUCAUGCAACCUAUUCAGAAGCCUCAACCAAAGAAGAAUCGUACAAUAACACUGUGAAAUUAAAGUCAGGCAAGCCCUGUAAGCACCUCUAAUAUAUCAUUGCACAGCCAAGUCCCCCAACAUUGCUUUAGGUUUGUUCUCUUUUACAAUAAAGUGAUAGAAAA
rnacentral:lncRNA from 1 species